rnacentral:rRNA from 1 species
GCCUACGGGGCGCAGCAGUGAGGAAUAUUGGUCAAUGGACGCGAGCCUGAACCAGCCAAGUCGCGUGAGGGAGGACGGCCCUACGGGUUGUAAACCUCUUUUGCCGGGGAGCAACGGGCGUCACGUGUGGCGCCACUGAGAGUACCCGGAGAAAAAGCAUCGGCUAACUCCGUGCCAGCAGCCGCGGUAAUACGGAGGAUGCGAGCGUUAUCCGGAUUUAUUGGGUUUAAAGGGUGCGUAGGCGGAAGGUUAAGUCAGCGGUCAAAUGUCGGUGCUCAACACCGGCCUGCCGUUGAAA